GGAGUUAGCCGGUGCUUCUUCUGUGAGUGAUGUCCUUCCUGCCGGCUAUUAACCCGCAGGCCUUCUUCCUCACUGAAAGUGCUUUACAACCCGAAGGCCUUCUUCACACACGCGGCAUGGCUGGAUCAGGGUUGCCCCCAUUGUCCAAUAUUCCCCACUGCUGCCUCCCGUAGGAGUCUGGGCCGUGUCUCAGUCCCAGUGUGGCUGAUCAUCCUCUCAGACCAGCUACGGAUCGUCGCCUUGGUGAGCCGUUACCUCACCAACCAGCUAAUCCGACAUAGGCUCAUCCGAUAGCGCGAGGCCCGAAGGUCCCCCGCUUUCCCCCGUAGGGCGUAUGCGGUAUUAGCCUGGGUUUCCCCCAGGUUAUCCCCCACUACCGGGCAGAUUCCUAUGCAUUACUCACCCGUCCGCCGCUCGCCACCAGGGAGCAAGCUCCCCGUGCUGCCGCUCGACUUGCAUGUGUUAGGCCUGCCGCCAGCGUUCAAUCUGAGCCAGGAUCAUCUGA
rnacentral:rRNA from 1 species